CGGACGGGUGAGGAAUACAUCGGAAUCUACUCUGUCGUGGGGGAUAACGUAGGGAAACUUACGCUAAUACCGCAUACGACCUACGGGUGAAAGCAGGGGAUCUUCGGACCUUGCGCGAUUGAAUGAGCCGAUGUCGGAUUAGCUAGUUGGCGGGGUAAAGGCCCACCAAGGCGACGAUCCGUAGCUGGUCUGAGAGGAUGAUCAGCCACACUGGAACUGAGACACGGUCCAGACUCCUACGGGAGGCAGCAGCA
rnacentral:rRNA from 1 species